GGUAUAGCUCAGUGGUAGGGUAAAUGUCCUGCAAACUUGAUGCCCCUGGUUCAGUCCCCAGUUUCUCCA